rnacentral:rRNA from 1 species
GAGUUUGAUCCUGGCUCAGGAUGAACGCUAGCGGCAGGCUUAACACAUGCAAGUCGAGGGGCAGCAUGUCCAGCAAUGGAUGAUGGCGACCGGCGGAAGGGUGCGUAACGCGUGAGCAACAUGCCCUAUACAGGGAGAUACACCAGGGAAACUUGGUCUAAUAUCCCAUAGCAUUCAUUGAAGGCAUCUUUAAUGAAUUAAAGCUUCGGUGGUAUAGGAUUGGCUCGCGUGACAUUAGCCAGAUGGUGAGGUAACGGCUCACCAUAGCAAUGAUGUCUAGGGGUUUUGAGAGGAAGGCCCCCCACACUGGGACUGAGACACGGCCCAGACUCCUACGGGAGGCAGCAGUGAGGAAUAUUGGACAAUGGAUGGAAAUCUGAUCCAGCCAUGCCGCGUGCAGGAAGACGGCCUUAUGGGUUGUAAACUGCUUUUAUACGGGAGCAAUAAGGGUUACGAGUAAUCCGAUGAGAGUACUGUAUGAAUAAGGAUCGGCUAACUCCGUGCCAGCAGCCGCGGUAAUACGGAGGAUCCGAGCGUUAUCCGGAAUUAUUGGGUUUAAAGGGUGCGUAGGCGGCCAUUUAAGUCAGCGGUGAAAUUUUGCAGCUUAACUGUAACAGUGCCGUUGAUACUGUUUGGCUAGGAUUUGGUUGUAGUGUGCGGAAUGUGUGGUGUAGCGGUGAAAUGCUUAGAUAUCACACAGAACACCGAUUGCGAAGGCAGCACACUAAGUCAUUAUUGACGCUGAGGCACGAAAGUGUGGGGAUCAAACAGGAUUAGAUACCCUGGUAGUCCACACUGUAA